UACGGAGGGGGCAAGCGUUGUUCGGAAUUACUGGGCGUAAAGCGUACGCAGACGGUAAGGAAGGUCGAAUGUGAAAGCCCCGGGCUCAACCCGGGAAAUGCAUCCGAAACCCCCUUGCUAGAGUAUGAGAGAGGGAAGCGGAAUUCCUGGUGUAGAGGUGAAAUUCGUAGAUAUCAGGAGGAACAUCGGCGGCGAAGGCGGCUUCCUGGCUCAUUACUGACGUUCAGGUACGAAAGCGUGGGUAGCAAACAGG
rnacentral:rRNA from 1 species